rnacentral:rRNA from 1 species
UACGUAGGUGGCAAGCGUUGUCCGGAUUUACUGGGCGUAAAGAGUGCGCAGGCGGUCGUUCAAGUCGCGUGUGAAAGCCCCCGGCUCAACUGGGGAGGGUCACGCGAUACUGAUCGACUGGAAGGCAGGAGAGGGUAGUGGAAUUCCCGGUGUAGUGGUGAAAUGCGUAGAUAUCGGGAGGAACACCAGUGGCGAAGGCGACUACCUGGCCUGUUCUUGACGCUGAGGCGCGAAAGCGAGGGGAGCAAACAGG